rnacentral:lncRNA from 1 species
GGGGUGGCUGAUCUCAUUAGCCACUUGUGUGGGGAUACUAAUACAAGGAUGUGGGUGCUCAUUUGAGAAUAAGUUUACUGAAUUGACUCACCAAUAGAGAAUAUCUAAUGGAGCCUUACAUGCAUGUCAAAAGAUAAUUCUGUAAGUGAAAAUUAUGUAAGUAAUUCUUAGACCUAAGAUCAUCAUGAAAUCUUAUGCACAUGAAUCCAUAUUUUGGUUCAUACCUAGACAUGACAAUAAGUCAUGUACAAAAUAUUCUGGAUAUGGUAGAGUGUGUGUGAAGAUUAUGAGUCAGUCAACAAAGA